rnacentral:rRNA from 1 species
GAAAUUUCAUUCGCACUAGCGAUAGUAGUUUCUCCGAAAAGAUAUAAAAGUGUCGGGGAAAAGUUUAAUUUAUAAUAUUAAUUAUUAUAUAUACACUCUUUUUUAUUAAUUUUUUUGAGGAUAAGCUCAGAAAAAAGUUAAGAUAUUUUCAGCUAAAAUUACUGUGUGGGCUUAAAAUUGGCCACCAUAAAAGUUUGUUAUAGAAUAGUAAUCUUAAUUUAGAAAAUAAAUAUAUUUUAAUCUAAAUCAUUACGGGGACAAGAGCUUUAAUUAAAAUUAAGUUCUAUGCCUAUGCUAGAAUGAGUAUUAAAACCUAAUUAUAAAAGAAAUAUUAGUUUACUUUUCUUCAAAAAAAAAUUCUAAAAAAAAUUAAUUAAUUAGAAGGAAUUCAGCAAGUUUAAUUCUUCGCCUGUUAAUCAAAAACAUGGCUCUUAGCUAACAUAAAUAUAAAGAGUCGAAACUGCCC